rnacentral:lncRNA from 1 species
UUGAAACUUCGGAGUUAGAGACAGAGAAACAAAGAGAUGCGAUGGAAGAAACUUCAGACUUAGAGAGAGAGACACAAUGGUUCAAAAUUCGAACCUAAAAACCUACUGACCAAAAUCCAUCACAGAGAAGAAAACCUAUUUUUGAAGUUCAAAACCUUGGAGAGUGAUGAAUACAACACAGGGAGUUCUCUCUCUACUGAAACAAUCAGUUUCUCUCUCUAAGAACAUGAGAUAAAAAAGGAGCAAAUAUUCAGAAAGAGUCCCUCGAGACCUACGAAUUGUAGCAGCAGAGCAAUCUCUCAUUGGC